UCCAAAAAAAUAAAUAGCGCUAAAUAACAAAAAAUUCCCUCUCUUUUCCCCCCAAUAUCCAUCAGAAAUUGCCCCAAAACAUUUCUCUCUCUCAUUUCUCCCAAAAUAGCGCUAAUUUGGGGUUGUUACUCUUUACUCCGAUUGAACUCUCCGUCGUCCAUUGAUAGGGUAAUUGCUACUCUCUACUCCGGCCAUUGCUACUUCGGCGUCUCUAAUCGGUCAUUGCCUUCUGCUUUAGCUUUUUCUCCGGUGUAUUCAAACUCUCACAGCUCCCAGGUCUGAUCCGUGAAACCAUCGAAGAAAGAUGAGAUUGAUAGCUUGGGAAGCAUUGUACCAAUCAAAGAACUAAAUGCGAGGAUGUUUCAGAGUCGUGCAGAUGAUGCACGAGGAGAAGCAGGGAGCGAGAAAUAGGAGGACGAGUAUUCUAAAAAACUCUUCAAACUGUGGUUGCGCGAAACUGACUAAAGGAGGCGAAAGAAGCUGGAAGCGUGACUUUGGAGAACGCGCAUCGCAUCGCAAUUACUACGAGAUGAAAAUGAGAGUGCAUAUGGAGAUUGCAGGCUUGUUAAACAGAAUAGAACCAGCCAAACAGCUACUGGGUAAUGGAAGACAUGAAACUUCAGGGAUCAGUUCCAGCUAGCCUUUUCAGUCUGUAUCAGUUGCAAACUAUGUAAGUGUCCCUUUUACUUUGUGUCGUUUAGAUUGAGUAUCUUAAAUGAAAUGUCCUAACUCUCUAUUAUACUGAGACUUGAUGACAAUGUGCUCAUUGCUUACAGCAUCUUGAGGAAUAACUAACUCAGUGGUACAUUUGAAAUUGAUACCCCAUAGAGCAACCAGUUACAGCUUAUUGAAUCCCUUUGUAAUUCAAUUGACAGUUUGUGUCCACUUGAGUUGGUGGAGCUGCUGCUGUUUUUGGAUGAUGUUGAUGUUGUUGUUAACCCCGGUUGCUGGUUGUUUAGUUGGCUUAAUUUGUAGCAAUGUAGAUCUGGCACGGAGUUUAUUUUUGGGAUGCUGCUGAUGCUUUGCUAUCCAGUAUUGUGCAUGCACUACUCCAUUCUUGCUUCGACAUCCAUCACACAGACAUGAAUUCUGGUCUGGCUUAUAUCACCCAGACUCGAAGUUUUCAGUGUCUUACUUACAUUGGGCACCUACACGAAAACUCAUGGAAACUCCUCACCUCCAAGGAAGGUUCUGAAUUUCAGAAUUUGGUUGAGACACUCUCAAGAGAAAAGUUGGCUUCCAGAUUGACAUUGACAGCUGAUGCUGCAUCAGUUGGACCCCCUCUUCUUCCAUCCAAGUGGUGCGGCUAGUGGACCCAUUUCGCCCAUGGAUGCAAGGAGAUCACGUGAUGAUAAUUAUCCUGAUGACAUUCUUUGAUUUCGUUGCAUUUGUCUUGAAUAUUCAAUUAUGAUGAUAUAAUUGUGUGGUUGGAGUGAAUCUUAGAAUAUUGAAGGUUGUGUUUAAAUUUGAUUUUGUAAUUUGAAGAUACUAGUUAAUGAUGAAAAUUUGGAGUUUGAAGAUGUUAAUGUUGAAAAUUUAAUUUUGAAGUUUAA